GCCUCGGUAGCGCAGUAGGCAGCGCGUGAGUCUCAUAAUCUCAAGGUCGUGGGUUCGAACCCCACCCGAGGCA
rnacentral:tRNA from 1 species